CGGGACGGGUGAGUAAUGUCUGGGAAACUGCCUGAUGGAGGGGGAUAACUACUGGAAACGGUAGCUAAUACCGCAUAACGUCUUCGGACCAAAGUGGGGGACCUUCGGGCCUCACGCCAUCGGAUGUGCCCAGAUGGGAUUAGCUAGUAGGUGGGGUAAUGGCUCACCUAGGCGACGAUCCCUAGCUGGUCCGAGAGGAUGACCAGCCACACUGGAACUGAGACACGGUCCAG
rnacentral:rRNA from 1 species